CGCCUGCGGGUGGGACCCCACUGACUCGGGAGAGGUCGGCUCCGAGGCGUCGUUCCUAAGCCCACCAAAGGGACCCAGGGUCUCAGAGCAUGACGGCAGACCCAGUUUGCCCUCCGGGGAAGGCUGGCCCCAAAAAGAACCACCCAAAUGGUAUGAGCUUUGGGCCUCAUGAAAUGAAGAAGAUCUACCUCAGACAUUUUGGAGAAGAGAACUUGACCUUUCUGAGUUCUUCCAUUCGUGUUUCCCUAAGGGAGGAGUGACUUACCUAAGUGGUAGAUAGCUGUGGGAGCCAUGGUACAUGCAUGACCUGAUCUGUCCUUGGCUCUCUCAUCGCAUCUGCCUUCCACAGCCAUAUGCUCACUGCAUACGGCCCUAGAUGACAAGAGCCGCAGGAGAAAUAGGUUUUUUUUUUUUUUUUUUUUUGCCCACUGCUCCCCAGAUGGGCAGCUCUCCAAAGAAUCUUAAAAAUACAGUUGUAGCAUGACUGCGCGCAAAUUCCAGAGAAAGCACCGUGAAAGGAGAGCUUCUGAAGACAUGCAGAGAAAGUAGGCAAGGAAGGGAGGCUUCUGUAAGUCUUGGCCACCAGGCUGCCAGUAAUGAAGCACUGUCCUAGCUCCAGCUACACCCUGCAGUUAUCAUACCCUCUUAUUUUAGAGAUCGGCUGUGUUCCCAGGAUGAAACUUGUGUUUGCCAAGUAACUGCAUGUUGUGGAAUAUUAUUUUAAGAUGUGUGACAUUUGUUUAUGCGGUGGAACAUUUGUUUUAAUGAUGCAAUGAUGUGUUGCCUUCUUUUAUGUUGCAUUUGUUUAACUCUGCAAAGCUGUUACUUUGCCUGUCUAAAACAUCUGAUGGUCUAAAAGAGCUAAAUGGCCAAGAAAAGAAGGGACCCUGCCACACAGCCAGUCACGGACUUAGAGUGAAAGUAAGGUAUAAAGAAGAAAAGGAAAAAGCCCAGAGGCUUAAUUUAAAUUAAGAAAAGCUGGCAAGAAACAAUCCGGGCUAAGGCUGAGCAUUCCUAAGUGAGAAUUAAUUCCCUGUGUGUGAUGUGGGGAGCUGGGUGGCAGGCGUCCAAAAGAGACAAAGAGUAGAACAACCCACAACACCUGGAUGUACAGACUUGCCCCAGAGGAAAGGUGGAAAUCUCAUUUUGGCAAGAGGUCGAAGCUGUUGUGCCUGUUUCACUGUUAAUCAGCAACAAGACUGAUCUUCAAUCCUAUCUAACAUCUGUGUUAUUUCCCAGAAAAAAAAAUGAGAAGUAUGAUGGUCACAUCUAAUGAGAAAUGAAACCAAUUACAUUUGUGAAACUAGUGUAUGGAUAAAAAGGCAUAAUUGACUAUAUGUACGAGCAGGACAGUAGGUGCUAUCAAAGAUACACACCCAGUAACACAUGCCCAGUCUCAAGCUUACAAUUGAAAACAAAAUGCAUACUCAACUCCCGCGGGAGUAUUUAAUGCAUGUCCAGUUAGUGGUUUUGGUUAGAUCGGGCAUAGGAACUGGCAUUUGGAGGGAGGGUCUUUAGGGGGUGAUUUCACGAGGGCUGUCCUUCAUGCUAGGACUGAAGCCUCUGUAAAAGACACUCUUUGUGCUGCCUUUGGCCUCUCUUGCCCUUUGCCUUUGACUAGGGUCUUUUGGGUGAGGUCCUACCAGCUGAGAUGAUGUCUCCAUGACAUUUGCCUAUAGGCAAGCCUGUCCGUGUGAUGGCUGAUGGGGGAGGGUCAGCUCACUGUUGGCAAUGCCAUCCCUAGGUGGUCCUGGGAGCUAGCAGAGAGUUGUCUGAGCAAACCACGGGAAGCAAGUCAGUAAGUAGUGAUCCCCUAUGGCUUCUACAUCAGUUCCUGCCUCCAGGUUCAUCUCAUUCCUGGCCAUGAUUCUGUGACUAUUCUUGUCAAAUCCUGUUUCAUAUCUAGCCGACAACAAGGCAAAACUGAACCCCUUAGUUUCCUUCUACGUUCCAAAUCGCUAACUAAAUCAAAUGCUAAUGCUGGGAAUUUAGGAGUUGCCCUGACUCAGGUUUCCUUGAUCUCUUGCAUUUACUCCUACAGAAUAAUUGAAACAAUCUCAUAGCUUCUCAUUGCCAACACUGUAGACCAGGCUACCCUAAUUUCUGGCCUCUACCACUGUGAUAAAUUCCUACAUGGACUCAUCAAUUUCUUUCUUUCUUUCUUUCUUUCUUUCUUUCUUUCUUUCUUUCUUUCUUUCUUUCUUUCUUUCUUUCUUUCUUUCUUUCUUUUUCGAGACAGGGUUUCUCUGUGGCUUUGAAGCCUGUCCUGGAACUAGCUCUGUAGACCAGGCUGGUCUUGAACUCACAGAGAUCCGCCUGCCUCUGCCUCCCGAGUGCUGGGAUUAAAGGCGUGCGCCACCAUCGCCCGACAUCAAUUUCUUUCUUCUUCAAAAUAACCUCUAAAAUGCAACCAGACAAUGAGAUUGGGCACAUUCAAGGUAAGACGCUGUGAACUCUAAAAUGCAGUCAGAAUCACCUCUCUAUGUUUGCUUGCUUCCUUUUUUGAGACACGGCCUCACGAUGUGGCUCUGGCUGUGCUGGAACUCCUCAAGUAGACCAAGCUGGCCUUUGUUUUCCAAGUGCUGAGGUUCUCCCUAGUGGGCCCUGCUUCACCUAGUCAGAAUAAUCUGUUUAAAAUGAAAACCUGAUAAUACGCCUGACUUUCAACAGUCUCCUAACAACAUUGCUGUCAAGUCCAGAAUUUUCAGUGUGUCUGGGAAGACUCAUGCUGGAAGCUCCGUGGGCUUUUUACUGCCCCUUUUCUUUUUCCUACCCCUUACUCUUUCUCUUUCAGUCAAAAGCAAUUCAUGGAAAAACAUGGCUCCGUCCUAGCUCAGUGUUCAGAAUGAUCGCCAGGUUCCUCUAAUGCAAGGCCUGUCUUCUCCAGUGCCAGUCAUUGUGUGUGUAAUUUGUGCUCAUCCCUCAGAGUUCAUCUUAACAUGUGUCCUCGUGGAAGGCUUCCCUGACCUAUAUCUCUCUGCCAGAUUUCUUCCUCCUGUUAAUCAGUUCUCAGAUAUCCUGUACUUUUCCUUCCUAGUACCUUGCACACUCUAGUUAUUGAACAAUUACUUAAUUAUUUGUCUGAGGGUUGCAUCAUAUCUGCAACACCAAGCACAAUGCCUGGCAUAGGGAAGAUGCAUAAAUGCGUGAUUAAUGGACUGGCUCCUUCAGGGCUGAGGAAAUGAAGCUGUCUAAACAACAAGGAUUCACGGGCAAAUGCAGUCCAACUCUAACCUGGAUUCUAUACACCUGUCCUCCUCUCUCUCUCCAUCCACACUUGUUCAUUUUUUAUUUCCCAUGUCUUAUUUUCUCCAUAUUGGAGCAAUGACAUAUCAUAUCAUAUCAUAUAAGGACAUGUUAAGGACACUGUUCAACCCGUAUUGGAAAACUUUGUGUUACAAAUUUGAAAAAUUUGUGUUACCCCUUGGGAGAACUAAAGGUUAUGUGUACUUCCUUGGGUAUCUCAGAAUAUAACUGGUAAGUUUUUUUCUCUGUUCUCUAGACUCUAACAUAAACUUUUAGGGGUUUGUUUUUCGAUCUCUAAGAGAUACCCAAACACAACCAAAUAAACCACAAUGUAUGUGUUACUUGAUCAGAAUCAUGUCAAGAAAGACAAAAUCUAUCCUUAGACACUGAUGUCAAGGCACAAAGACCUCGAGGGAGCAAAUAUACAAAUUGUGAAGUAUUCUAUAGUUAACCAACGUGAUAAAAAUAGCUACCUUUUUUGUCCUUGCUAAUGCUAUGUUAGUUUGGUUUUUAAUUCUCCUCAGUCUACUGGCUAAAAUGCUAUUUGAUUACAGAUGUGGUGGGCUAUUGGAUUCUGCUCUCGUAAGUCAGUUGUGUUCAGUGGCAUCGCAGGGGCACCCUGAAUACACUGUGAUAUUUAUCGUGCAGGAAUGAGCAAACACUACACACCAGAGCUUUCCUCCUGGGACAGUCAGCUGUUAAACAUGACCAGUCCACCGCUGCUGGUAAAUCUGAGUAUUUUCUCAUGUACUUAUAAGUUUUCAUAUUUUCUUUAAAAUACUCAUUUUUGUCUUUUGUCUGUUUAUAAAAAAACGAACUUUCUGAAAACUUCA